rnacentral:rRNA from 1 species
GAGUUUGAUCUUGGCUCAGGAUGAACGCUGGCGGCAUGCCUAAGACAUGCAAGUCGUACGCGAAGGCCUAAUGAUUACUACGGAAGAUUGGAGAGCUUGCUCAAAGAUUGGAAGUAGUAAGAUUUAGAUCACCUUCGAGUGGCAAACGGGUGAGUAACACGUGGGUUACCUGCCUCUAGGUUGGGGAUAACGGUUGGAAACGAUCGAUAAUACCGAAUAUGCUCUACGGAGUAAAGGAGCCCUUAAAGCUUCGCCAAGAGAUGGGCCUGCGGCGUAUUAGCUAGUUGGUGGGGUAAUGGCCUACCAAGGCAACGAUACGUAGCCGGCCUGAGAGGGCGACCGGCCACAUUGGGACUGAGACACGGCCCAAACUCC